AAUUCUCAACCUUCCUAACUUUUAUUAGCUUGGUUUGGCUUGGAUGUGGGGGUUGCGGGCUUCUAUUAAUGAAGCCGGCUCUCCUUAAAUGCAUUAGCGGAACUUUUGUGGACCGUCUAUUGGUGUGAUAAUUAUCUAUGCCGUGGAUGUAAAGCAGCUUUAUGAAGUUCAGCUUCUAAUCGUCCAUUGACUUGGACAAUUUUUUCA
rnacentral:misc_RNA from 1 species